rnacentral:sRNA from 1 species
GCUGGGCGUGGUGGCACACACCUGUAAUGCCAGCACCUCAGUAGGCUGAGGCAGGAGGAUUGCAAGUUUGAGACCAGCCUCAGCAAUUUACUGAGGCCCUAAGCAAGUUAGCAAGACCCUGUCUCAA